UAGACGUAUUAGGGCGUGUAUGAAAGUUGAUGUGUGUGUGCACGUAUAGGAAUAGUUUAAUAGUAGAAUAAAUUACAUUUAAUCAGUUAACUUGUGGCAGUCAUUUAGUCAUUGUCCAUUUAGUUAAAUGACUAGUGAAAAACUGAAAAGUGAAUGAUAAAUUAUUAAUUAUUAAUUUGUUCGGUCUUCGGUGUGUACACUUUUUUGAAUUUUAUAUCGCAAACAUUAAAUAUCUAAUAACCAAAUAUUUUGUGUUUUAGAAUCGAUUCAACGGAUUGGCAAUGUUAUCAGUUAAUAAAAAUGUUUGUGUAGAUCCAGAAGAUGUUUUAAACGAAAUUGGUUCUAAAGCCAAGAAAAUUAUUAUAUCAUUUUAAUAUUAUCUACUUUAUUAAUUACUUUAAAAAAUAUUUUGUACAUGUAGUGUAGUGUUCUUAUAAAAAAAAAUGUAUCCUUCCGGUGUCGAAUUUACCUACGAGCAAUGGUUGAUAUGAAACAAAUAUGACUUUUUGGUUGUUAUAUAAUUUUGAGAGGAAGGACCGGUGUACUUGUACAAAUAGAUUGCUGCACUCAAUUGCGUCCCGAAAUAAAAAAUUCGAUAAGUGGGUACACUAAUUGCGUCCGGCUAUAUCUAAACGACUACGCGAU